rnacentral:rRNA from 1 species
UACGAAGGGUGCAAGCGUUACUCGGAAUCACUGGGCGUAAAGCGUGCGUAGGCGGUUCGUUAAGUCUGUUGUGAAAGCCCUGGGCUCAACCUGGGAACUGCAGUGGAUACUGGCGAGCUAGAGUACGGUAGAGGAAGGUGGAAUUCCCGGUGUAGCGGUGAAAUGCGUAGAUAUCGGAAGGAACACCAGUGGCGAAAGCGGCUUCCUGGUCCAGCAUCGACUGAUUCAGGCACGAAAGCGUGGGGAGCAAACAGG